AUCAAACUGAUGAGUCCCAAAUGAGACGAAACGCGCGUCCUGUAU
rnacentral:hammerhead_ribozyme from 1 species